GGCCCAAAUCUGAAGCGGAGUAGAUUAUUAAGGUGAGCUAGUCCUACUAAUCUACUCUACUUCAAAAUUGGGCCC
rfam:Haemonchus contortus, ISE/inbred ISE, WGS project CAVP01000000 data, contig: Hcontortus_3604